AGAAGGGCUUUAUAGACACUCCUGUCCACACCAGGCAGCUGCCCUGGGGUGGAGGAGAGCAGGGUCAGAGUUCAAAUCUCCCAGAGAGGUGAGCUCUGCUCCAGUGGCUGAGAUUCCAAGGUGAUGCUGUGAUGAGUAGAUUGGCCAUCUACUAAAAGGCCCUGUGCGAGACUCGUUGGGAUGAUAGAGGAAGCCUGAUAGAUGGACAGAUGGACUGACGGAGGCCAGAGUUGAGAUUCUGGAAAUUCUGACGCAGGUGGUCAGGUGGCUUUAGCUCCAGCUCAUACGCGCUUUCCUACACAGAUAAAAAGUGCCACUUGGCACGCUCACGCUGCCUGCCAGUGACUCCAGACCCAGCUGCACAUCAUGUGGACCUCAGGGAUCCCAUGAAGAUGUGGGCACAGAAGACAGCUGUCUCGAGCUUCCCCGAGACCCACUUGGUUGACGUCCACGACAGCCCUGGUGGACACAAUGGGCGUCCAGUCUUCACCUGAAAGAGUUUGCAGUUGCCAGACCCUGAGGGGGAGGGGGAGGGGCUUAAACCAGGUUGUUGACUCAUGUGAAGGGCAGGUCUCCCCCCGCUGGGCUCGGCCACGUGGGCAGAUGCCUCUUAGGAUGAGCUGGGCAGCGCAGAGUCGGUGCCUUCGUUCUCCACGGCUGAGGACGACCGCUCCGGAGGGCACCACCCCCGUUUCAGUUUGGGGAUUGCCAGAGCUGCCUCUCACAAUCUUCUUUGGAAUUCCCCCUUCCAUUUCAUUUCCAGUGGUAUUCAGGAGGUAAGGAGUGGCACACGGAGACCACCCCUUGAGCACGCUGUGUUAUUGAUCACCACAUGGGAAAAAGCCUGCCCAAAUCUGAGACUUUUCACAGCACUGAAAGACAACAAGAGGAGCAUAAUGGAAAAAUGAUCUAUGUAUUUAUUUUUUAAGACGUAGUUCAUGUUUAAAUUAUGUGAAGGCAGGGAAUUGUUCCCUAUCAUCACGGCUCAGUGAGCAGGUUACUUAUUGAGUAUUGGACUUUAUCUUUACAGUCUCACUUCCUGGUAGCUGUAUUUGUAAAAAUGGAUGAUAAUUAUUUUUAUAGGUGCACUUUGAGGACACUUGAGGCUAAAACAACAUCUUACAGUUACAUCUUUUAAUUCUCAAAUUAUCUUUUCUGCUUUUCUUUCAUGAGUCAGACAGUGAAUGGAUGAAGGAAGGCGUGAUCUGCUCACCUUCUCGACAGCCUGAGACCUGGAACGAGUGUCCUUGUUUUGCAGGAGAGUAAGGGCCAGAGAGGAUGAAGAAAUCGAGGCUUGGGAGCCAAGUAGCUUCUCCUAGGUGGUGUGACUGAUAGUGGCAGCACUGGAACUCAGAUGGUACACAUCUGCACCACUACACACGAAGCCAGGUGUCACCAACGUGGUGACACCCUGUUCUCCUGCCUUUGUUCCACUUGCUGCUGUCCCCCGCUUCCCUUGGGGCUCGGUGCCUACUCCAGCAAAAUCUCCUGACGUCACACCACGCCACAGGGACCCAUGCCCUUGGAGACCAGGCCAGCACCUUGGGAGAACUGUGAAUCCCAGACCAGGAGCCUGUGGGGCUGCCGUUCGGGCCCCUGUGGCCUGUGGUGUCCCUUCCUCAGGGGAUCUCAUCGGGGAGUCCUUCAACAUCCUCAGGGUGAAUUGCCAGGCUCCCCAGGGGCUUCCCGCCACUGGCGACUGACUCCGCACCUCUUCUGAACGCCUCCCCUGGUUGACAGCCUGCAGCGUCAGCUACCUGCUCCUAGGUGAACCGUCCCUGGGCUGGGGACAGGAACCAGCCACUCUUCACCUCCCCUCUGCCAAGUGACCUUUGCAAUCCUUGUGACCUUUCCUCCAAAGCCCAUUUUUCAUCCCUUUAAUCUGUUGUCACUGCCCUUCUCACCUCUAGCGUCAACACAAGGAGACCAGGUUCUGGCAGAAAUGCCACCGGCAGGAGGUGGCCAUUGGCAUGCUCAGCACAGCCCCGCACGCCCUCGGGGUUAAUAAUAAAUACUGUUUGAUGAUGAAA